AUGGACCCUUCCCAAAUGGACCCUUCCAAACUGGAUCCUUCCAAAAUAACUCUUUCCAGAAUGGAUCCUUCCAAAAUGGAUCCUUCCCAAAUUAACCCUUCCCAAAUUAACCCUUCCCAAAUGGAUCCUUCCCAAAUGGAUCCUUCCCAAAUGGAUCCUUCCCAAAUUAACUCUUCCCAAAUUAACCCUUCCCAAAUUAACCCUUCCAUAUGGAUCCUUCCCAAAUGGAUCCUUCCCAAAUUAACCCUUCCCAAAUGGACCCUUCCCAAAUGGACCCUUCCCAAAUGGAUCCUUCCCAAAUGGAUCCUUCCCAAAUUAACCCUUUCCAAAUGGAUCCUUCCCAAAUGGAUCCUUCUCAAAUGGAUCCUUCCCAAAUUAACCCUUCCCAAACUGACCCCUCCCAAGUGGAUCCCUCCCAGGCUCUGCCCAGCAGGACGCGGGUGCCAGAGGGGCUGCAGCACGGGCAGAUCUCCUGAGGGAACGGGACGGGAAUGGAGCCCUGGAACCUCCAGCAAUGCCCCUGUGGGGCUGGGAGCACCCAGAGUUUGGGAGCGCUUGGGAAGGGUGGCAUCAGUGCCUGGGGGAAUUUGUGGGGUUUUGCAGGAUCCAAGGGAGGAUUCCAGGCAGGAUUCGGCCUUUCCUGCCUUUUCUCACAGGGAUGAAACCCAAACUCUGGGAAUUGCAGCUGGAGCUGCUCACCCAGACCAACAAAUCCUUCUGCUCCCACCGCUGGAUCCCAUCCACUUCCAAAUCCUUCCCACUGCCGGAUCCCAUCCAGCCCAUCCCAAAUCCUUCCCAAUGCUGGAUCCCAUCCAGCCCAUCCUGAAUCCUUCCCACUGCCAGAUCCCAUCCAGCUCAUCCCAAAUCCUUCCCACUGCCAGAUCCCAUCCAGCCCAUCCCAAAUCCCCCGGGCAUCCAGCUCUUCCCUGGCCUCCGGGAAUCCCCUCAUCCUCCUUUUCCUCCUCCACGUGCCAACACUCCAAGGUUUUUUCACACUUUUUUCACACCCAUCGGAGCAAACCAGAGGUGCUACAAGAGUUCGGAUAUUCCCAAGCACAGCAGGAUCCCAAAUUCCAUCCUGGGAUCGAGGAGGAUCCAGCCCCACCUGGUGAAGGACGGAUUCCAAAAACACAUUCCCGAUAUCUUGGGAAUUCACAUCCAUGGGGUUCUGGCUGGGAAAACCACGGCGAUUCCCAGCAGUGA
rnacentral:lncRNA from 1 species